rnacentral:rRNA from 1 species
GAUGAACGCUGGCGGCGUGCCUAAUACAUGCAAGUCGAGCGAACGGACGAGAAGCUUGCUUCUCUGAUGUUAGCGGCGGACGGGUGAGUAACACGUGGAUAACCUACCUAUAAGACUGGGAUAACUUCGGGAAACCAUAGCUAAUACCGGAUAAUAUUUUGAACCGCAUGGUUCAAAAGUGAAAGACGGUCUUGCUGUCACUUAUAGAUGGAUCCGCGCUGCAUUAGAUAGUUGGUAAGGUAACGGCUUACCAAGGCAACGAUGCAUAGCCGACCUGAGAGGGUGAUCGGCCACACUGGAACUGAGACACGGUCCAGACUCCUACGGGAGGCAGCAGUAGGGAAUCUUCCGCAAUGGGCGAAAGCCUGACGGAGCAACGCCGCGUGAGUGAUGAAGGUCUUCGGAUCGUAAAACUCUGUUAUUAGGGAAGAACAUAUGUGUAAGUAACUGUGCACAUCUUGACGGUACCUAAUCAGAAAGCCACGGCUAACUACGUG